GUGCUCGCGUCGGCAGCACACAUACUAAAACUGCAACGAUACAGAGAAGAUUAGCAUGGCCCCUGCACAAAGAUGACACACAAAUCUAUGAAGCAUUCCAUAUUAAA